CAGCAGCCACGGGAAUACGAAGGGUGCAAGCGUUACUCGGAAUUACUGGGCGUAAAGCGUGCGUAGGUGGUGGUUUAAGUCCGUUGUGAAAGCCCUGGGCUCAACCUGGGAAUUGCAGUGGAUACUGGGUCACUAGAGUGUGGUAGAGGAUAGUGGAAUUUCCGGUGUAGCAGUGAAAUGCGUAGAGAUCGGAAGGAACAUCUGUGGCGAAGGCGACUAUCUGGGCCUGCACUGACGCUCAUGCACGAAAGCGUGGGGAGCAAACAGGAUUAGAUACCCCAGUAGUCCCUGUCUCUUAUAC
rnacentral:rRNA from 1 species